GGUUCUUGCAGAGAGGGCUGAUAAGGAACUGGCUUCGAAUGGAAAAUCGCCGGAAAAAUUGAAGGGUGCCGGAUCAUUCCUCAUGAAAGUGUUUGGCGUUCUUGCUGUAUGUUUAUUUAUUCCCCAUAUUAUGCUUAUCAACCCCCACAACAAAGCAAAUAUAAGGUUUGAUUCAGGUGUGCUUGCUGCAUAUAUUUAUGUCUGCUGUCUGCAAGAUGAUGAAACCUUGUUUUUGACAUAUUGAAAUGCUAAAUGAGCUACAAAAUGAUGGGUAGUUCUCCUCCUUGCCUUAACUCUCCUGCAUCACCAAGUAGGAUUUGAACUUGAAAACUUUUUGAUGGAGAUUAUUGCUGGGCUAUGACACUGAGUGGUUUCUUUGCAACAAAUCUUUAUUGUUGUCUUGGAAUAUUUGUCCUAAAAUGAUGCUUUUAUCAGCAUUUCUUUAUAAUUGGCCAAACUGCGUUCUAGUAAUACUUUCUAUGUUAUGUUCUUGUGCCUAGGAUCUCGUCAUAGGCCAUAGUGAAAUCUGAUUCAAAAGGUAAAACUUUUGCUUUACCUUGAUCCUUUCCUUGACUUGUUACUGAAAACGCGAUCUCGUUAAAAAGGAGCUCUAACUUUAUAUUUGUUGGAUAAGAGAGAGUCCAGAUCUCAAUUUAAUUGAAAAUAGUUUUGCAUAAUUUUAUUAAUUCAAGUGACCCUUUUUAUAAUUAUAAGAGACGUUUAUACAAAAUUUAUUGAAUCCUACUAGUAAUAGGAAUUCCAGACCAGUAGGAGUUAUACUAGAAAGGAAAUAUUAGUUAAAACAUAACUAGGAAGGGAAAAAUAAUAAAUAAAGUAUAACUAAUAAGGAUGCUGCCAGCGGAAGUCCAUCUAGGAACCCAAUGAAUGAUGCGUCCACAACUUUCUCCCACUGGACCAAAAAGGUUGUCACCUUUAAUCUUUCACAUAGUUUAAGAAAACAUAAUUAAUAUUAUGCCAAAUUACGUUCUCCAUUCCUUUUUUCCUUUUGUACACCUUACUAUUUUCUAUAAAAAUUGACAUUAGUUUCUUUAUUUAAAAUAGUUUUGCCUGGAAAAUAUAUAAAAUUUAUGAUUAAUCUAACAUUUUAUUGUAGAGUUAAUGAGGGGUAGAACUCGAAAGCCAAUUGAUGCAGAGCCAGUAGAGUAAUGGGGUGAGAAACAAUUUCUCAAUUGAUAAAGAAGCACAUUCUCUUGAUAAACAAAUACUCAAAUAAAGAAGACAAAAAUUCACAAAUUUUGUUCAUUGUCAACAAUAAUAUCUUAAUAAACUCUCUCAAGUAAAAUACCUAGACAUAUUUUAUCAACUAGUACUGUUGGUAACUAAUUAUGAAUAUUAAACCAAAACAAAUUAGGAAUACUAAACAAA
rnacentral:misc_RNA from 1 species